rnacentral:rRNA from 1 species
AUGCGGCGGCUCAGCGACGCAGGGGAGGCCACGCCGCUCGUCACCCCCGCGGCGGCCGCGGCGGCGGGCGGCACCUUGGCGUCGCCGGCCGCUGCGGGGAGCAACGCCAACUUCGACGCCAACAUGGUGAUCAUCCUCGCCGCGCUGCUCUGCGUUCUCAUUUUCGCGCUCGGGCUCAACUCCGUCAUCCGCUGCGUGCUCCAGUGCGGCCGCCGGCUCGCGCCGUCGUCGAGCCUCGCGGCCAGCGCCACCGCGGCGAGGACGACGACAUCCGUGCACGUGCAGGCGGGGCUCAAGAGGAAGGCGCUGAGGAAGAUACCCGUGGAGGUGUAUGGCGGGGCCAAGUCUUCCGGCGGCGCCCUCCCGGCCACGGCCACGGAGUGCGCCAUCUGCCUCGGCGAGUUCGCCGACGGCGAGAAGGUGCGCGUGCUCCCGCGGUGCCACCACGGAUUCCACGUCCGCUGCAUCGACAUGUGGCUCGCCACGCACACCUCCUGCCCCAACUGCCGAGCCUCGCUCGCUGAGGACGGCGCCGCCGCUGCCAACGGCGGAGGGGGAUAG